rnacentral:sRNA from 1 species
GCUGGGCACAGUGGCUCAUGCUUGUAAUCCCAGCAACUCUGGAGGCCGAGACAGGAGGAUCACAAGCUUGAGGUCAACCUCAGCAAAUUAUUGAGACUCUGCCUCAA